GAAAAAGCGCCGGGGCUGCCCUGCGGGGCAGCUGACGAGGUGGGGGAAGAUCGAACCAUUCGGCGGAUGCCCCCUGCGCAUGGAUGUGGUGCCAUAAGAGCGGCGCGACAAAAGGGCUGGGUGACCAGCGUGACAAAA
rnacentral:ncRNA from 2 species